rnacentral:pre_miRNA from 1 species
UGAAAUCAAAGUUCUGUAACACGUGGACUCUGAAUGUGAUGGAAGUCAGUGCACUACAGAACUUUCUUUUCGG